CGUGUAGGUGGCUAAUUAAGUCAGGUGUGAAAUCCUUCCGCUUAACGGGAGAAGUGCACUUGAAACUGCUUAGCUAGAGUACGGGAGAGGAAGGUGGAAUUCCUGGUGUAGAGGUGAAAUUCAUAGAUAUCGGGAAGAACACCGGUGGCGAAGGCGGCCUUCUGGCCCGAUACUGACGCUGAGACGCGAAAGCGUGGGGAGCAAACAGGAUUAGAUAUCCUGGUAGUCCACGCCGUAAACGUUGGGCACUAGGUGUGGGAGGUUUUUAUUCCUUCUUUGCCGAAGCUAACGCAUUAAGUGCCCCGCCUGGGGAGUACGGUCGCAAGGCUAAA
rnacentral:rRNA from 1 species